UGCUGCAAUAGGUUGCACAGGUGAAGGAGUUCUAAGGGGCCUGUCAGAAAGGCUAGGAGCCACCCGGAGGAAUCUCCUCAGCAAUAACCUGGGAAAAGGGGCCCAGAAAGAUGCAACUGCAGUGAGAGAGGAGUGUGCAGCUCCAUGACAGAUACUGGCAAACAGGCAAAGGUGGCUUCUCCAGGGUGGCAUUGACGUCCUGCUGCUGGGCCUGCAAUGGGGCUAAGACACUCCAUCCUGCUGCUGGAAAACUUCUACAUCCAUAGCUGAGCACCUUAUGGCCCCCAUUCCUGUAGGGAAAUGCCACUAUUUACCUUGGAGCAAGAACUAAAAGGCCAGAGCUCGUUCCCACUGACGUCCUUGUCAAAACAUCUCCAUGACUUCUAUGUCAGCAAGGCUGGGCUCAUCAAAACUCUUUCCAAAGACAAAUUUCACUCAACAAGACUGUUGGAACAAUAAACAGCUGUCAGAUGUUCUGCAUACUGAGGUCUUCCCAACUGUAAUUCUCAUUAAGUCAAUAGACUCCGAAAGGCACGGAUGCGUUGAGAUGUAAGUAACUCGCUGUGCAAAGACGCAAACACACGCAGGGUGAAAAGGGAAUAGUUAAUUCAGGCUGCCCUGUAAUUCAGAGACAAUUUGUAACGUGUACACCCCAUUCCUGCGUGUUUCUCAGGCCGCAUUCAAACUGGUGCCUGUUUGGACCUGAAUUUGAGUUUAAUGAAGAAAGAGAAGGCAAGGUUUUGUGAAGAAGAGAAGAAGGGGGCUUGAGGCGUAGAGCUAUGAGAAGAAUCGUACAGCGGUCUAUGAAAGAGCUGGGAUAAGGUUUCAGCACCACAGACCAUGGCAUCGCCUCAGGAUCAGCAAGCCACAGGAGACCAAUCGGUUCUGCAGGGAGAAAAAACCCUGACAGCACACGUGACGUUCCCAUCUUCAUAAUGUGACAUGCUGGAGAAUGCUCUGGGAAAGAUAAAUGACUUGGCUUUUGAGGCUGUUCCUCUUAAAAUAACUAAAACCAGUUUAUGGAGAGUAAAAAAGUGGCACUGAGGUUACAGGAAAAUUCCUCAAAGAUGAUUAUUCUGCAUAAAAGAUAAGGGGCAGUUUCUCUCUCCUUUCAGAGCUUGAAUCUUUGAUUGCCCUGUAUUCAGAGCUCUAAUCAGCAGUAGACAUUUCUCCCCCUCCCCCCUGCCUUUUUAUUGCCCCUUAUUUAUAUUGCAACCCUAUAAUACAUUAAUUGUGAUGCCCCCAUGAAAGCAAUCCCGCUUCCAAAACAAACCACCCCACAGGGGCCUGAAAGCAGCAUAUGUGGGCUACACAUUGCGGAUUUAUUGCUACAGAAUGAUUUUACCAGCAGAACUUGAUGCAAGAAAAGAAAACCCCACACGCACGUCAAAGAAAAGCGUUAAGGAUUUAAAACUCAAAGCUCCCUUAGCUUAACAGAGGAAAGGUUAAGGAAUGACUUGAUUACAUCAGUUUGUUACAGGGAGGUUAAUUAACUACUGGAACAAUUUACCAAGGGUCAUGGUGGAUUCUCCAUCA